GUGUGUGGGAAGGGCAGAGUCUGAAAAGAGCAUGCCCCAUUUGGAGAAGCAUCAAGAAGCCCACGUGUUAGAAGCACCGGCCCCAUGAGACAAAGACACAGCUAGAGAGAUUGACUAGGCCAUGUCGGAAUGUCCUCUUAUUUUAUACAUACAUAAGCAUAUAGAUACAUAUAGCCAAAGUUACCUUUUUAAUGAUCUUUUUUACCCAGUGUAUUCUGGAGGUCGAAUGGUCACAUAUGAACAUCUCCGAGAGGUUGUGUUUGGCAAAAGUGAAGAUGAGCAUUAUCCCCUUUGGAAAUCAGUCAUUGGAGGGAUGAUGGCUGGUGUUAUUGGCCAGUUUUUAGCCAAUCCAACUGACCUAGUGAAGGUUCAGAUGCAAAUGGAAGGAAAAAGGAAACUGGAAGGAAAACCAUUGCGAUUUAACCACUUAUGAUACAGUGAAACACUACUUGGUAUUGAAUACACCACUUGAGGACAAUAUCAUGACUCACGGUUUAUCAAGUUUAUGUUCUGGACUGGUAGCUUCUAUUCUGGGAACACCAGCCGAUGUCAUCAAAAGCAGAAUAAUGAAUCAAC
rnacentral:lncRNA from 1 species